CUUAACCAUUCAAGGUCAAUACCUAACCUUAACCAUUCAAGGUCAAUGCCUAACCUUAACCAUUCAAGGUCAAUACCUUACCUUAACCAUUCAAGGUCAAUGCCUAACCUUAACCAUUCAAGGUCACUGCCUAACAUUAACUAUCCAAGGUCAAUGCCUAACCUUAACUAUUCAAGGUCAAUGCCUAACUUUAACCAUCUCGCAAGAGUUUCACAAUUUGCAUGUUACCUUCUAGACCUUGAAAAUUUGAUCUGAUGGUGAAUUUAGAUAAAAGAUCAGAGGAUCUCCAAAGUUAUUAGAAUACAUGUGUGGAUCAUGAAUGUACUACAUUUUUGCCAAUCUGAUUGUUGUUGAUGUAUUUCAGUGGUGGUGGACCGACCAACCAACCAACAUCGCAAAAAUGAAUAGAGACGUGUUGCUAACAUGCUAAAAAUGUAUUUUUUCAUGCAACUAAAUAGAAUAAUUUCUCACUUGAUACCUCUGCCCCAGAUGUGUUGAAAGUUAUGUGCCUUUUACAAGAGUAGAUUAGAAUAAUGUAAUAGAUUAACAGGGUGCUGUCAUCUCCUCAACCACUGACUACCGUGUCUAACUUGAAUUCAGUCUUUGUUGUCGUGAGUGCCACUAUGACGGACUGUUGGUUGACCCGUGCAACGGUUUGAUAUUUGCUCCAUUUCAUCUGUUUUGACAGACCAGAUGCGACAUUUGAUAAUAAAAAGCUUCAUCUCUGGACUUGCUUUCAAUAUUGAUUGUGUUUUGUACCAGUCUAUGCGACCAUCUAUGAAUAAUAAAGACUCUGCGGUUAAUUGUG